UACAGAGGGGGCAAGCGUUGUUCGGAAUUACUGGGCGUAAAGGGCGCGUAGGCGGCCUUCUAAGUCGAACGUGAAAUCCCCGGGCUCAACCCGGGAACUGCGUCCGAUACUGGAAGGCUUGAAUCCGGGAGAGGGAUGCGGAAUUCCAGGUGUAGCGGUGAAAUGCGUAGAUAUCUGGAGGAACACCGGUGGCGAAGGCGGCAUCCUG
rnacentral:rRNA from 1 species